AUCCAGCCCACGAGUCUCAAAUAGGACGAAACGCACGUCCUUGAU
rnacentral:hammerhead_ribozyme from 1 species